GAUGAACGCUGGCGGCGUGCCUAAUACAUGCAAGUCGAGCGAACAGACGAGGAGCUUGCUCCUCUGAUGUUAGCGGCGGACGGGUGAGUAACACGUGGAUAACCUACCUAUAAGACUGGGAUAACUUCGGGAAACCGGAGCUAAUACCGGAUAACAUGUUGAACCGCAUGGUUCAACAGUGAAAGACGGUCUUGCUGUCACUUAUAGAUGGAUCCGCGCCGCAUUAGCUAGUUGGUAAGGUAACGGCUUACCAAGGCAACGAUGCGUAGCCGACCUGAGAGGGUGAUCGGCCACACUGGAGCUGAGACACGGUCCAGACUCCUACGGGAGGCAGCAGUAGGGAAUCUUCCGCAAUGGGCGAAAGCCUGACGGAGCAACCCCGCGUGAGUGACGAAGGUCUUCGGAUCGUAAAACUCUGUUAUUAGGGAAGAACAAAUGUGUAAGUAACUAUGCCCGUCUUGACGGUACCUAAUCAGAAAGCCACGGCUAACUACGUG
rnacentral:rRNA from 1 species